UUCAAGCAGAAAUGACCUCGAUGUGCAUGGCCUGCAGUUCACUGUUCUGUCUGCUGUGAAGGUAUACCACAAGGUUCUCUGUGUUUUGACUGCCUCAUCACCUUUAACUCCUUCACUUAGUUAAUCUUAACGUGGUCCAAGGUACAUCGACACAUGGGUCCAGAGCUUUCUUGAGUCUUUCGAAAGUAAACUCCUUAAGAUGAGUGAGGUUGACUUCAAGAGCCAUUUAAACACACUAAUUGAAUCAAAGAUGGAGAAGGACAAGAAUUUGUGGGAAGAAUCUGAGUGUCACUGGGAAGAGAUAACUAAUAGACUUUCCUAUUUGAUCGAAUAGAAACUGAGGUCGCAACAUUAAGGAAGCUGGCAAAACAAGAAUUGAUAGCUUUCUUCAACAAGCACAUACGAAUUGGAGCGCAGGAAGGUGCUUAGUGUACGAGUUUAUGGGAGCAAGCAUACAUCAAAUUUUGAAGUGGAUAACAAUGAAGCAAUUGGACCAAACACAAUACGAAUAAAUAACAUUUUCAGCUUUAGGGCAUUGCAACCUCUUUACGAUUCACACAGAAGAGGGUAUGAACAUAUGGAAGUUCACAGCAGUUCUAAAUAAGCUUGAAAUGAGGAUCUUGGAUAAUGUACUCCUGAAACAUUUCUCCAAAAUCUAUACUACCACGCCACACUUGCCCUGUGGCAUUUGUA